rnacentral:rRNA from 1 species
UGUUAGGUCAAGGUGCAGUUUAUAAAAGCAUUUUAUGGGUUACAUUAAAAAAUAUGAAUGAAUUUAAUUGAUUUAAAGUUAAUUAAAAAGGAUUUAAAAGUAAACUUAUUAAUGAAAUAUAAUGAAUAUAGAUUCUAAAAUAUGUACACAUUGCCCGUCACUCUUGUUUAAAAUAAGAUAAGUCGUAACAUAGUAGGCGUACCGGAAGGUGUGCCUGGAAAUAAUAAGUAAAUAGCUUAAAUUAAAGUUUAUUAUUUACACUAAUGAGAUAUCUUUGAUUUUACUUUUAAUGAAAGGUAGUAAUUUAUUCUUUUAUUUUUUACUUCUAGGGGGAGCUAGGAGUAAAAGAAAUAAAAAAUUAUUUUAUHGUACCUUUNNNNNNNNNGUUAAUUUAAAUUCAUUUAAUAUUAAAUUUUCUCGAAAAAAAAAGAUUUAAAUAAUUUUAAUUUUUAAUGUUGAAAAAUUAAUAUAAAUUUUUGUUUAGUAUUGAUAAAAUAUUCAAUUUUUUAUAUCUAGUUACUUUAAAAUUAAUUUAAUUAAUGUAAAAUUUUUUUAUUUAAGUUUUAAAAAAAUAUUUAGGGAUAAGCUUGAAUUUAUUUUAAUAGAAAAUUUAAYUAAUAUGUAUUUUAAGUUUAAAAGUAUCUUUAUAUGUUAUGUUAAAAUUAAUCAUAUUUAUAAUAUAUUUUUUAUUUUUCUUUAAGGGGAGUUAAAGUUAAAUAAUUAAAUAUGUUAAUUAUAAAAAAAAUGAUUAAAUUAGUAGAUUAAAAAAUUAAAUAGUAAGAAUUCGGCAAAUAUAUAAUUUCGCCUGUUUAUCAAAAACAUCGUUAUAAGGUUAUAAAUUUAWAAWAGUACCUGCUCAAU